CACGCGCGCCUUCCUUCUUUCCCUUUUUUUCUUUCUGCACCCUUUCCUUUUCUGUCCCAGCCUCCGGUUUCCUCUAGCCAAAAUAUCUUCCCCAAUCUAGACGGUCUCUUCCCUUUUCCCAUUCGUUUCAAUUUUUUUGGAUCGUCCUCGUGCUUUUUUGCUUCCUGGACUCCGCCGCUCUCCUCCAUCCCCGAUUCUUUCUAGUGGUCGUACAGAUCCUCGCCGGCGUUGUGAUGUCAGAAGCUGCCUUCCUCCAUCCGCGAGAUUCCUCGACGGCCCAGGUGAGGGCGGGGGUUUGGGAUUUUUUCUGCUGCUGGGCACCGGAAUCAGCGAGGGCCCUCGUCGUGGUGGUAACCCCACUCAGUCGAGUCGACGCCGUGGGGUGGUGGUCGCCCCAUUCAGGGGAUUCGUUGGUGCGGGUGGCUGCUGACUUCCGAGAGCGGCGUGAAUCCUCGUAGUCGCCGCGUCGGGGCUUCUAGGCUGCUGGAUUCGCAGAGCGUCUCCUCACCGGAUUUGCUCGGGCCCGGCCAUCCCACGGUAGGGGUAACACACUUGGAACCCUCCCUUUCAUGUAGUUGCCGCGUCCUUGGUAUUUAAUACGGCUGCGCUGUUCCUAUGCGCGCAAGACGCGAGAUUGAGGUGGCAGCGUGGAGACCCAGGUGUCGGAGGAGACCAGAUGGGGAGUGUGUGUCUGCUGUUAUUUUGCGGUAAAGCAUCAGUAGGUGGCCACUCCUUUUUCUAUCCCUGUUUACCUGUGAUAUGGAUAUGACUGACCUCUAAAUAAAUCCGGCUAUGCAUUUUCAAUACUGUUGCAAGUGCUUAUGGUGGUUACUGUAGAGAAAUGGUUCCCCAUGUUUUUCUUCCCAUUAUGACCGCAUUUUUCUUUCAUGGGUCUGAUGUAGCCAUUGUAAGCUCCUUAAAAACAUUUAGGUCACUAGCUAGGCAGUUUCCAUGGCAAUGUUCCAUCCUUCUCAAUGCCCAUAUCAUGGGUUGCAGCAACCACCACCUGAAUACCUGAUAGGUUCGUUGGGGCUUCAGGUUCUCUGAAUAUCACUAUUGUAUGAAUUGCCAUUGGUGACAUUUUUGCAAACAUGGCCAUCGCUUGAGAUUGAUGAAAGCGGAGAAUCUUUAGUUUGUUGCUGCUUCAACAUAUUUUAAUUGUUUGCAAAGGGGUUAUGCUAUUCUCAGUGCAAACCUGGGCGACGUGAAUAGGAGGAAGAAAUUUAUAAGAACCAUUCAUUCCGCAAUGCAGGCAUCUUCACCGUAUAGUUCCAUAUGUUUAUCUUUCCAUUUGCUCAGCUAAAAUGUUAAAAACUUGCACCUAAGAAAACAGAAUGGUUACAUGAUUUGGGUGAUGAUUGAUGUAUACUUUUUACAAUGGGAUGUACCACUGCUUUCUUUGUUAGCAAUGGCUGCAAGGACAAGAUGAAACAAAUUGGCAAUAUGAUUAAAGGGCAAAAAGGUUACACAUAAACUCCACUGAGAUCAAACUAGGACCCUCAAGUACCAUGGAUUGUGAAACAUAGUCAGGUUGCAUAUCUGCUAUUGGCUAUUGCACUCACAAAAUGACUGUGAUUGGGCCUGGCCCCUACCCCCCAUUCACAAAAUUGCAUAUCUGCUUAUUUUUGUGCACCAUGUAGCCACUUGAUUUCUGCGAAACACAUUAGCACACUCCAAAUAUUGUAUCCAGCCAAAGUGUAAAGUUGCCGAAGUUUUGUCAAGGCAUAUUAUAUCUUAUUGUAUGAGGCAACCGUCUCUAUUUUGUCAAGGCAUGCAGGUAACCUUUGUAAUUUUUAGUUUUGUUUCUGUGCAGAAUGAGCCUUCCAACACAAAUUAGAUUGGUUUUCAGUUACGAUACAUGAUUCCGGAUGUAUGGUGUAGAAUGAUACAAAUUUAUUACCUGUUUUUGUUGUGAUGCAACAUAUUAUAUAAGCAUUAUAACAUUGUUUGUCAUCAAAAACAGGGGUGUUGUUUCAAUCAAAACAACAUGGUGCAUGUAAGAUUUACGGGGGCAUCUAGCAGUGGUGACCAAAAAUCAUCAGAAGGGAGAGUAUUGCAGAGAUCAUCGAUGAUAAGCCCGACAUGCCUACAUGUAACACUAUCUUAUGAUGAGCUUUUAGCAUUCUAGUUCUGGAGCUUUUUAACGAUCUAAUGAUGAGCUUUUUAGCAUUGUAAUGAUGACCUUCCAAAAAAUAAUAAGAAUUGGUUCAACUUGGGUAGACCACAAAACCCUCGGGCGAAACAUGAAUAUGUAUGGUAGAAUCAAUAAGUAUUUCAUGAAUAUGAUGGGGAAAUCAGUAAUGGUUGAACACCAAGAAAGGGAAAAGUGUGACUUAUUUCGUCAAGCACAUUGGACAAGAUAGUAUAUCAUAGUUGAUACAGCUGCUUUGUUCCAUAAGGCUUUUGAAAAUCCACUUGCGUUGCCCAUACAUCUGACUGAAUGUAUGACAGGGUGUCGGCUUGGCGCCAUUGAUAUGAUACUGCUACCACUACCCACGUAUGGCUUUUGGUAUCUCAUGGUGGCAAACUUCAAGAAAAAGGGCUGGACAUUGGUAUUUUUGUCAUGAAACUUAUCAAAAGCCAUGAUGGAGAUACUAUUUUAUGUUUUGAGCCAGAAAAGGCAAAGGCAUUACGGAAAAUUCUAACAUAUUACUUGAUUGCGCAUCCGUGCAAUGAGUGUUUAAUGACAGAGACAAAGGAAAUCUUUUCUAAGCAUAAUGUUCCUUUUGAUUACAAGACACCAGGUUAUUGCCCAUGGACAUGGGAAACAUUUUGUUGAAGUCAAACUUUUUGAGAAACAAAAGGGUCGGAGAUAGCACAUUGAGUUGUUAGACCUCGCAAAAAAAUAUUACUGAUAUAGGUUAAUAUAGCUUAGGAUUAAUGGCCAAACACAUUCAGAUCCCUUCUUUAUAUGUCAGAUUUUUAUUUCUUGCUCGGCUUUUCAGUAGAAACCAUCAAAUACUUUGCGUCUGUUUGUUUCUCUCAAAACAGCAGGAUUCAAACCUUCAUUCCACAAAAAAAAAAAUUGCAAGCUCAAUGAGCUAAUGUUAGAGCACAUUGUAAUCAAAUUCUUCGAUAUGAGAUUCGUGAUUCCUCCA